AGUCCAUUGUGUGGGCAGCAUCGUAGUAAGUCCUUAUACGUCUCCCAAGUAUCAUACAUCGACUCAUCAUCAAACUACACAAAAGAAGAUAUGUCAUUUCUAAGUUU
rnacentral:snoRNA from 1 species